GAUGUGGACCUGGACUUUGUUGUGUUACUACAACUGGUCUGAAAUGGAUGAGUGCACCCUGCUGUUGCAGCGUCUUCAGUGUGAUAAGCAUCUUCACUGAUUCAAGUUCCUUCCGGACACGUGUGCAUUGUGGGCUCUGUGCUGGCAAACCGUCUUUGGACAAUCUUGACAAUUUGACCUCAGAUCGGGUGGGACUACCCGCUGAACUUAAGCAUAUCAAUAAGCGGAGGAAAAGAAACUAACAAGGAUUCCCCUAGUAACGGCGAGUGAAGAGGGAAAAGCUCAAAUUUUGAAUCUGGUGUCUUUGGCGCCCGAGUUGUAAUCUAGAGAAGUGUUUUCUGCCUCGGACCACACAUAAAUUCCCUGGAAUGGGGUGUCAUAGAGGGUGAGAAUCCCGUUUGUGGUGUGGACUACCUUGGCUCUGUGAUACACUCUCAACGAGUCGAGUUGUUUGGGAAUGCAGCUCAAAAUGGGUGGUAAAUUCCAUCUAAAGCUAAAUAUUGGCGAGAGACCGAUAGCGAACAAGUACCGUGAGGGAAAGAUGAAAAGCACUUUGGAAAGAGAGUGAAACAGUACGUGAAAUUGUUGAAAGGGAAGCGUUUGAAGUCAGUCACAUUGGUCGGAAUUCAGCCUGGCUUCUGCCUGGUGUACUUUCUGGCAAAUGGGUCAGCGUCAAUUUUGACCGAGAGAGAAAGACUUGAGGAAUGUGGCUGUCUUCGGGCAGUGUUAUAGCCUCUUGUUGUAUGUCUCGGUUGGGAUUGAGGAUCGCAGCACGC
rnacentral:rRNA from 1 species